rnacentral:rRNA from 1 species
UACGAAGGGGGCUAGCGUUGCUCGGAAUGACUGGGCGUAAAGGGCGCGUAGGCGGAUGGCACAGUCAGAUGUGAAAUUCCCGGGCUUAACCUGGGGGCUGCAUUUGAUACGUGUUGUCUAGAGUGAGGAAGAGGGUUGUGGAAUUCCCAGUGUAGAGGUGAAAUUCGUAGAUAUUCGGAAGAACACCAGUGGCGAAGGCGACACACUGGCCCAAUACUGACGCUGAGGCUCGAAAGCGUGGGGAGCAAACAGG